AAUAAAUUUGUAUAUAGGUCCAUAUAUAAAAUUUGCCCUUAAAACUAUUGCGAUAGGCCUUAUUAAUAAAUUUGUAUAUAGGUCCAUAUAUAAAAUUUGCCCUUAAAACUAUUGCGAUAGGCCUUAUUAAUAAAUUUGCCAUUGAAUUAAUUGUGAGAAGUCUAUUGUCCCCUAACAAUUUAUUUUGGUCUAUUACACAAUUAAACUUUUAGUUUUAUUUAUUUUAACCAAUAGGCACAAAUCUGCCUAACUCUUCAACUCAACUCAACUCAACUA
rnacentral:misc_RNA from 1 species